GGUGAGUUGUCCGAGUGGCUUAAGGAGCACGCCUGGAAAGCGUGUAAACGAGGAAUCGUUUCGAGAGUUCGAAUCUCUCACUCACCGCCA
rnacentral:tRNA from 1 species